CGCAGCGGACUCUCUUUGGUCCAGGCAGGCAAAGGGGACUACCCCUGUCUCAAGGAGCUAAGACUUGGGCACUGGUGGAGGUGGAGAGCCUCCAUCCCCAAUAAUUUCAUGGACUGGCUGUGCCAAGCCUGGCUUCCCCUACCCGGAGGCAGGUAGUAUCAGCUAGAAAGGGGUCACCUUGUCCAUCUCCCCUCUCCUUGGAGGGUGACUAUCACAGCCAAGGUAGAUGGCAGAGCCUCUGGCCUUGGACCUGUCAGUCCUGCUAAUUUCUCCCUCAUGCAGAAAGGAGAUGGACACAGGAGAGGGGGGUGUGGGGAGUCACAUGGGACCAAAUUGGUCCUCUGACCAUAGCAUCAACCCCUCUGCCUUUGAAGACUUAAAAUUUUGCUAAGGAAAGGGACAGGGGGCUGCAGAUAGACUUGGGGAGGAAACCAUGGGAGGUGGCAGGUGCAGUUUCCCUCCCAGGCUUUAGUGUUGUGUAACCAAUGAAAAGCUCAUUUUCGGCAGUGGAACGAAGCUUUCUGUCCUGGGUAAGUGACGGUCUUCCCUGGGCAUGGUAUGUGGUGGACGCUGGAGUAUCCCUUUGAGAAGGCAGGGGUCGAGAACACAGCAGAGAAGGGGCUCAGAGAGUGUGGGUGGCCAGAGAAGGUGCUAGAACCCCGAGUGGCUCUGAAGGGAAGCUAGCUUCUGGAAAGAAGGGCCCCACACCAGCCACCCUGGGGUGUUGCACUGUGGAGCAACCAGGCGCAGCAUUUUGGAGAUGGGACUCGAGUCUCUGUCCUAGGUGAGGCACAGGACCUGGAGGCAGGGCCAUUGUCCCUGGACCUCCCUCCUUCUCUCCUCCUGGUCCUGGUGGAGGAGUGUCGAGGAAAAUCCCUGAUCCCUGUGGGGCUUCCAGGGAGCUGAAUCUGCCAUCGCUGUCGAUGGCCCUCCAUUCGCUUCUCUGUUUAUCCUCCCUGAGUCUUCAGCGCAUAAUCUGCCUCCUCACUCUUUGGUGGGCUCCUCCUUCUGCUUAUGUUCAUGGAUCUGCCCUCUUCUCCUUCCACUCUUUCCCCAGAGUGUGCUGAGGCUGUUUCCCAGUGGACCCGCUUUGGUCCAGACAGGCAAAGGGGGGCCACCCCACCUCGAGGAGCUAAGACGUGGGUGCUGGCGGAGGCCUCUGGGGGUUUUGCCACAGCUGUCUGCAGCCGUGUUCCUAUAAUUCGCCCCUCCACUUCGGGCUGGGCACCAGGCUCACGGUGACAGGUAAAGGGCCACUCCCGACAAGGGUGCCUGUGUAUGACCAUGGUGGCCACGUCCUGGGAGGGGAGUGGGGUAUAAAGACGGGUCAGAACCUCCCCUGCCAGAGCAUCACUCCGCUGUGUUGGAGGAGGCUUCUUGGCAGAGGGCUCCGAGCUGGGCUUGGUCUCCAGGCUGUGCUUUCUUGCUCUUCUCACUGUUCUCCAGAAAUCCUCUCAUCUCUACUGUUUUAGCAGGUGUGCUGCUUCAUUUAUUUUCCCUUUCUUAUCAGAUCUCCAUCCCCCCAGCCCCCAUUCUAACUCCAGUCCUGCUCUAUUGACCCUGCUUUGGUGAAUAGCUCUGUCUUUGUGAUAGGUCUGAAUGAGCUGUUACAGGUGGAAACUUACACCAUCUCGGCAACCAACAAUCUAGAAAAAGAAUAAAUAGAUCGGAGGUCCCAUCUUCUGGAACCUCAGGAUCUACACUGAGAUAAUAGAGGCAGGGGCCCUUCAGGAAAACCCUAACACACCAUGACGACCCUGCAGACAAAGCAGGCAGGCGAGGAGCAGGGCAUGGACCAGAUGGGUCUGGGCUGGACUCGGCCCCAGAGGGCCUACCAGACUGGGUGUCUGGGGCAGGCUUUGUCCUGCAGAUGGGAGCAUGUGCCAGGGACCACCAUGGCCACUGGAAGGGACACAGCACUGGGGUUCAAAAUGCCUGGGUUCUGGGGAAGGAGAGGUUCCUGCAAUUUGCAAAGGGACCUCAACUGUCCCAGGGCCACAGAUUAGUGUAAAAUAGAGAUAACCCUGCCAGUCUCUUGAGGUCCUGAAUUUGUAAGGGACUAAAUUAUGUGAAAAUCCUUGAUAAAGGACCCCUCUCGCGGUAGCCACCCUUUUCAUGCCACUGUUACCACCCCUGUGCCGUGGUUUGUCUUUUUCCAAACCUAUGUCUCAAUUUUCCCCAUGAGAAAUCUUGUCCAAACUUAGAUCACGUGGCGACAUCUGGGUUUGCCACAUUUCUGAUCCACAAACUCAUUCCCAUAGCCAGGACAGAGCCAAAGAGAGGGCACACUACAUUCUAGCAACAAGGAGGCUGCUUGAAAGGUAGAUGUGUUUGUUUGUUUGUUUGUUUGUUCCAUCCCUCCAUGUCUUCACCUGAGAGCCAGCCUUCCAACAAUUCCAGAAAUUCUCUCUCUCUGCCAGGCGUGUCAAAGGGCCUGGGACUUUAUGAAAUGAUCCCUACCAUAAACUGACCCUUGGACUUUGAGAUUUGUUUAUUCCUACUGCUGUUAUGAAUAUCAAGUGUGGCUAGAACUAGGAUUCCAAAGCAGGUGGGGAAGUUUGCUCAGCACUGGGAAGAAGAGAGGGUUCAACCCAGAAAAGUUUCUUUCAUGGGAUCUAGCUAUCCCUGGCAAGCGACAACACAGCCUGAGCACCUGCGAGGAGACAGUGUGAACUUUUGGAAAGGGUAACAGCCAGAGGCACCUGUGCUCCUGAAAACAGGUUACACAUGAAAAACAAAACAAAAGUGAGCUGGGUAUCGUAGAGAAAAAAGAACUGUAUCAGAUGCAAUAGAAAGGUCUCUCUUCUACGCAAGCAUGGCGACUUCUUUUUUUAAAAAUUUUAUAAUGAUUUUUAUUUUUUCCAUUGUAGCUGGUUUACAGUCUUCUGUCAAUUUUCUACUGUAGAGCAAGGUGACCCAGUUACACAUACACAUAUACAUUCCUUUUUCUCACAUUAUCUUGUUCCAUCCUAAGAGACCAGGUAUAGUUCCCAGUGCUAUGUAGCAGGAUCUCAAUGCUUAUCCAUUCCAAAGGCAGUAGUUUGCAUCUAUUAACCCCAAAUUCCAUUCCAUCAAAAUGGCAUAAAGACUUAAAUGUAAGACAAGACACCAUCAAACUCCCAGAAGAGAACAUAGGCAAAACCUUCUCUGACAUCAACCUUAUGAAUGUUUUCUCAGGUCAGUCUCCCAAAGCAGCAGAAAUAAAAGCACAAAUAAACCAAUGGGAACUAUUCAAAUGGACAAGCUUUUACAUGACAAAGGAAACCAUUAAAAAAAAUGAAAAGACAACUUACAGAAUGGGAGAAAAUAGUUUCAAAAUAUGCAACUGACAAGGGCAUGGCUACUUCUAAUAGAUAUGUGCUAGCACUCCAACAAACACCUACACCUUGCAAAACAGGACAAUAAUAAUUAGGAAAAGGCAAUAUGGUUGCCAAGAUCAUGGUGCUAGGAGGAAUUUUCAGUCAGCCUCAAAUUCCAGGCUCAUCCAAAUCUACUAUGGCUUCUAAGUCGGAAAAAUUAGAUAGGCACCAAAGAAGGCUUUGAACUAGGGAAAAAAAUACAGACAGAUGCAUGUAUUUAAUAGAGAAUCCUACAAGGCCCCAAGUAGAAGAUAUUGCAAAGAAAGUAAAAAAUAUCAGGAAAUAAUAACACAUGAGGAAGAUGUAGGCAGCAGCCAGCAUGUGCACCCAAGGGGUGACCGAGAAAAGGGGGCUAAAUCGAGA
rnacentral:lncRNA from 1 species